rnacentral:rRNA from 1 species
UACGUAGGUGGCGAGCGUUGUCCGGAUUUAUUGGGUUUAAAGGGUGCGUAGGCGGCCCCCUAAGUCAGUGCUGAAAUAUCCCGGCUUAACCGGGAGGGUGGCAUUGAUACUGAGGGGCUUGAGUAAAGUCGAGGUAGGCGGAAUUGACGGUGUAGCGGUGAAAUGCUUAGAUAUCGUCAAGAACACCGAUAGUGCAGACAGCUUACUAGGCUUUAACUGACGCUGAGGCACGAAAGUGUGGGGAUCAAAC